rnacentral:misc_RNA from 1 species
GAACGCACAUUGCGCCCCUUGGUAUUCCAUGGGGCAUGCCUGUUCGAGCGUCAUUUACACCCUCAAGCUCUGCUUGGUGUUGGGCGUCUGUCCCGCUUCGUGCGCGGACUCGCCCCAAAGGUAUUGGCAGCGGUCUUGCCAGCUUCUCGCGCAGCACAUUGCGUUUCUCGAAGCUCCGGCGGAUCGGCGUCCAUCAAGCCCACAUCACAGUUUGACCUCGGAUCAGGUAGGGAUACCCGCUGAACUUA